rnacentral:lncRNA from 1 species
AAACACUGUGAUUGUGAAAUUAAGAUUUAUCAUCUGAUUACUGCUGUUUAAAUGGACAUUUUUGUUGAAUUAAAUAGAAAAAUGUAAAUUUUGGAACUUUUGCUUUUUAAUGGCAAACUUUUGGUUUAACAGAAAAAUUACAACCUUUCGAGCAUAUCCUCACUCGACUACAUUGCUGACAAAAAAUGCAAUUGAAUUGUGAAUAAUUUAGAAAUGUCAUCCUUGCUAUGAAAACUUGCAAUUUCUUGACUGUCUUUACAUUUUCAUCAUCAGUGGGUAUAACAAUUUAUACUAAUUCCGUCUUAGUUUUUUGAUUGAAUGUUAAGUUUUUGCACUGAAAAAUUGGUGGUGAUGAGAAUGCAAUCCUAGCCUCACUUGGGAUGUCAUGGCGUAGAAUUUUUGCCCGAAGAAGUUGGGCAAAUAGGGGAUAAAGGAAUAUUGUCAUAUUGUUUGAAAGUGAAGCAUUAUUUCAUUCAUCUAGUUCUCUUAGUGCGAGCAAGCUGAAGUUCUUCCACGACCAUAAGUGCAAGCCACAAAUAAGUUGAAUCCCAUAAGUGCCAUCCCCACAAGGUGGUUUCUUAUGCCGAACUUACCAUGUCGCUUUAAUAGGUUUUUGUAAUUAGUGGACUAAAUUGGUUAAUAUACACGUUAUUGCCACAAUGCUCUGUAUUGGCCCAUUGUCACGCUCAUAUUUCUAAUUAGUAUAUACCCAUAUUCACUUUAAAAGCUUGUUCAAUGACCUAGAAAACCUUUUAAAUAUCAAAUAUUUAGUAAGGGGUCUUGUUAAAGCCCUUGUUCAAUGACCUAGAAAACCUUUUAAAUAUCAAAUAUUUAGUAAGGGGUCUUGUUAAAGCUUCAAACACUCACAGACAAUGUAGGUCUAAUUCCCUUUUGCUUGAACUUUUGGAAGAAAAUUGGCCCCCUAUCAUAUUACUAGAGCAUCAUUCAAGAGUUCAAAUAAUUACAAACUCUCUUCUUUCUAUUUUCUCUGAUAUCACGUUCUUGUGUUCUUGCCUCCCUGUUCUGUUCAGUGUGGUUAGGUCCAUUUCACAUGUCAAGCGCCACUUACAUGUGAGAUGGAGUGUCAAGAAAUAUGCCAUGCUUACGUUCUGAAAACCAUUUCAUGACAACUCAUGCAUUUUCAUAAUUUAAAAAAAAAAAAAAAAAAUUCUUCAUAUCACCUAGUUAUCCACGGAUCUUCUCAGUUUGAUAUAAGUACUGUCUUUUUCGUUUCCCUUUCUAGAAAUAUUGUACUUACCUCUUACCUUCCGUCGGAUCAUUCUACUAUAAUAUGCUUUUUGGUUACAUUGUGAUAUGGCUUUGCAUUUUUAAAUUUAAUGAAUAUCAUGCCUUUAUCAUUCUUUUAUAAAUGUCAAAGGUAAAUUUUCGUCCCUUGAUCUUUACUUAUUUAUGUAUUGAAAAGAAAAAAAUUCUCGAAGGUAAAAGAAGUACUCAUUUUCUUGUACAUUAUCUUUGUUGAAACAGCAUAUACAUGUAACAGAUAAAACAUUUGCCAUCGCCCUUUUCAACUAAAAUGAAGGCAGAACAGAGUGCACUAAAGCUAGAAUAUUGAACCAAUAAGUGAUAGUAUAAUUGCUUGAUUGUCAUAUCUCUUUUAGGAGUUCCAUUCUUUCUUUAAGAGCAUAUUCUCAAUGUAAGUUGAAUGUUCAAUGAAGCCAUCAUGUAUUCUUGGAGAAACCUCUAUAAAACCUAUUUUGAAUUUGAACAAAAGGUGGCUUUUCUGUUUCAAAUUGGAUAUAUACAUGAUCUGAAGUCUUAAUUAAUUAGAAACACUAAAAUGUAUGUAUUAGCUAUUUCAAAUUUCUAGGAACAUGGACUUCACUGUAAUCCUUUUAGGAAAACUUGGGCCAAGGUCGAAUUUCAAGAAGUUUGUGGGUUAGGGAAAGUGCUCCCCCCCCCCCCCCCCCACCCCAAAAAAAAAAUAAAAAAAUAAAAAAGUAAAAUCCAUCCCUUGCUUGUUUCUUCCUUUGCAUUUCAAUUUAGGUGUUACUCGUGCGGUGGUAUAAGUAACCAAUUCAAUUGGUGCACUUCCUAAUAUCAUGGUUCAGCUGCUGCUUACCGUCUAAGUACAUCAUGACUUAUCAAAGCAUUCGACAUUGAAUUAGAGCAUGGUUAUGCACAUCCUGGUUCUAAGCAGCAUAUGCUAAUUCAGUAUGCCAAAUACUUGACCAUAUACCACAUAUACAGUAUGUUGUCUCAGCUAUAGUAAGUGAUGAACACAGUAUCUUCAAUAACCAUGCAGGG